UACAGAGGUCUCGAGCGUUGUUCGGAUUCAUUGGGCGUAAAGGGCGCGUAGGCGGCGGGGCAAGUCGGGUGUGAAAUCUCAGAGCUCAACUCUGAAACUGCACUCGAUACUGCUUUGCUUGAGGACUGGAGAGGAGAUUGGAAUUCACGGUGUAGCAGUGAAAUGCGUAGAUAUCAGGAAGAACACCAAUGGCGAAAGCAGCUCUCUGGGACGGUACUGACGCUGAGACGCGAAAGCCAGGGGAGCGAACGGG
rnacentral:rRNA from 1 species